GUUUAUUGAAUUAGUAAUUAAAAGCACCUAAAUUUUAUGAUAUUGAGACAUGUUUAAAUUUUAAUCUUAUAUUAUAGGUUUGAAAUAGUUGUUUCAUUUGUUGAGAAAAUUCGUUUUUGAACUAUUUACAAACAUUUUGCAACAAGAAAACGAAACCAAAUUGAUAAUGAUUGGCAACCCUAGGAACCUAAGUUACCCUUUAAGUUCAAUCAAAUUAAAAAUUCCUAAUUUAAUCUCAAGUUAAGUUGAUUUUGCUUAGGGUUGUAACUUGGGCAAGUUUAUUAAAGAUGCU
rnacentral:lncRNA from 1 species